rnacentral:misc_RNA from 1 species
AAGUCGUAACAAGGUUUCCGUAGGUGAACCUGCGGAAGGAUCAUUAUCACGUAUCCACGUACUAACUCCCGUGAACCUCCCUCUUGGGUGCAAGGUGGCGCAGAUAUUUCCCGUUGUUUCGUGAUUUAAGGAUAGUCUGUCGUCUGGUGUUGAAACCAAACCUUGUGCUCUUGAGUGUAUGUUUUAAACCACGAUAUUUUCACCUUAUUUACAACUUGUACCUUUAGAACUGAUUUGUUUCAUGUCCUUUCCGCAAGGAAAUGCUUGAAAUAUUAUACGAAACGCAAAACAACUCUUAGCAACGGAUAUCUUGGUUCCCAUAACGAUGAAGAACGCAGC